CACAACAAUGUAAUGUGCAAUGCAAUUAAUGGCAGCCUAUCAACUACUUCCAACAAAAUGACAGAUGUCUCGACAAUACUCAUCCCUGAUACAGUGGUCCAGGACGCGUGACUGCUCUGUAUUAUAGGGAGGAGGUCAGGAUGCAUGAAUAAAGGACCAGCCCAUCUCCUGCUUCAAAUGUCCAUGGCAGUGUCGUAUUUGCCGAGGUGAUUGAACCAGGACCUGUCAAUGACAAAGAGCCCUCCCGCGAUGAUGGGAGUCCUGUCAGAGAAAGAGAAACAACAACAAGAGAGAGAGAGAGGAGUAAUAGAAAAGGUUGGUUUGCUGCCCCACACACAUACUAACAGAGGCUGAUUCAUGAUCUGGACGAUGUGACGGGUGAAUAGCUGAGGGCGAGCAUGUGUCAUCAAAUACCCUCUGUUCAUCAACAAUUAUCCUGCCUGCAAAUAGCACUCUGUGUGUAUGUGUGUGAGAGAGUCUGUAUGUGGGUAGAAGCACAUAAAACCUUUUUCAAGUUCAAUUUGUCCUUGUGUGUUUAAAGGAAGUCUGUGUGUAUGUAAAACUUUGUGCUUUGUUUGUGAAAUUAUCAUAAAAUAACUUGGCAUAUAA